GCCCCGAUAGCUCAAUUGGAUAGAGCAUCGCCCUUCUAAGGCGAAGGUUGUAGGUUCGAGCCCUACUCGGGGUACAA
rnacentral:tRNA from 1 species